rnacentral:rRNA from 1 species
AUUGAACGCUGGCGGCAGGCCUAACACAUGCAAGUCGAACGGUAACAGGAAGCAGCUUGCUGCUUCGCUGACGAGUGGCGGACGGGUGAGUAAUGUCUGGGAAACUGCCUGAUGGAGGGGGAUAACUACUGGAAACGGUAACUAAUACCGCAUAACGUCGCAAGACCAAAGAGGGGGACCUUAGGGCCUCUUGCCAUCGGAUGUGCCCAGAUGGGAUUAGCUAGUAGGUGGGGUAACGGCUCACCUAGGCGACGAUCCCUAGCUGGUCUGAGAGGAUGACCAGCCACACUGGAACUGAGACACGGUCCAGACUCCUACGGGAGGCAGCAGUGGGGAAUAUUGCACAAUGGGCGCAAGCCUGAUGCAGCCAUGCCGCGUGUAUGAAGAAGGCCUUCGGGUUGUAAAGUACUUUCAGCGGGGAGGAAGGGAGUAAAGUUAAUACCUUUGCUCAUUGACGUUACCCGCAGAAGAAGCACCGGCUAACUCCGUG